rnacentral:rRNA from 1 species
GACGAACGCUGGCGGCGUGCUUAACACAUGCAAGUCGAACGGAAAGGCCCUGCUUUUGUGGGGUGCUCGAGUGGCGAACGGGUGAGUAACACGUGAGUAACCUGCCCUUGACUUUGGGAUAACUCUAGGAAACUGGGGCUAAUACCGGAUAGGAGCUCCUGCUGCACGGUGGGGGUUGGAAAGUUUCGGCGGUUGGGGAUGGACUCGCGGCUUAUCAGCUUGUUGGUGGGGUAGUGGCUUACCAAGGCUUUGACGGGUAGGCGGCCUGAGAGGGUGACCGGCCACAUUGGGACUGCGAUACGGCCCAGACUCGUACGGGCGGCAGCAGUGGGGAGUAUGGCACAAUGGGCGGAAGCCUGAUGCAGCGACGCCGCGUGCGUGAUGACGUCCUUCGGGUUGUAAACCGCUUUCGCCGGUGACGAGGCGUGAGUGACGGUAAUGGGUAAAAAAGCACCGGCUAACUACGUG